GAGCCGCUAGCUCAGUCGGUAGAGCAUCGCCCUUUUAAGGCGGUGGCCCUGGGUUCGAGUCCCAGGCGGCUCA
rnacentral:tRNA from 3 species